GUAAGUUUAUAAGUUGUAAAGAACUGAAAAUUGUCAUUUGUUUUAUUGAAAGCAUAUUUACCGAAAUCAAAAGCUAUUUCAAUCAAACUUAUAACAACAUUUUAACUUUUUAAACAUUUUAACAAGUCACAUUACAUUUUAACAUAUGACCCCUUAUUUGAUAGCAGCUUCACAAGUCUUGCAUCCAUUGAACUUGUGAGUUUUUGGACAGUUUCUGCUUGAAUUUGUUUGCAAGAUGUCAGAAUAGCCUCCUAGAGCUGCUGUUUGGAUGUGCCUCCCACCCUCAUAGAUCUUUUGCUUGAGGAUGCUCCAAAGGUUCGCAAUAGGAUUGACGUCAGGGGAGGAUUGAGGCUGUAGCGGAGGCCUGGUAUUCCACAGGUUAACUCCACUAAACAUCCCAGUGAGGCUCAGGAACAAGUAGUAAAAAUACCAUAAAGUAAUAAUUCCAGCAAACAAGGUAAAUCACGAAUAUCCCCAUACUGAUCCCAAUGACUGGACGACACAGCAUCAGGAGCAGAACUCACUUUUAAUCCACACAACCUCCUUAUAAAGCAUUCUCCCAUGCAAGGGAGGGAUUCAUCAUAAUUAGGACAGUAACCAAUAAUGUCACAGUUACCUCCCAGACAUCUCCUCCCCUCAGUGUGACACAUAAUCCCAUUAUAUCUGCUGCAAUUUUCCCCAAGUUCUGGAUGUACCCCAAAACAGUUAGGUACAAGGGCUAAGUGGCACCACAUGGUAGCCCUGAUCUGGGUGACCAACAUAUGCAAAAUUCACCCAGAUCAGACCAGGGGUUCGUGAGUUACAUGGAAGGGACAAUUUGACCGACCGCACAUGAUGUGUUAGCCGAAAAGGGUUCCAUGUGUUUUGGCCCUGCGGUCGGUCUCCGUUCGGGAGGUAAAACACACAUAAAAACCUGACAUCCACGAUAAACAUUGCAUUCGCAUGAGUCCCCUUGUUCGGUACUUUUAACUUACCAAACGGGGGUCUGAUUUGCCUUCCCGUUCGGGAGUUACGGAGCUCUAGAGGUCUCAGCGGUGUUCGGGUAAUUGAGUGUCCGAUUUGAGUUCCAGACACUCGACAACCAAACACCGCUGAGGUUUUCGUGCGUAAGAUGGCCGCCGCCACGUGUUCGUAUGCCGAACGGCGGCCACCCAGAUACAUGCACAAAGUACCUAAUAAGGUGCACACUUCUCUCUGGGGUGGUCUAUGGGUUCGGUAGUUUUCAUUCGUAUGGAAUACGGAUGGAAACUACCGAACAAACAUACGAAUAUUACAUAUAGUUUUAACUACACAGAAGAAUAAACACACGAAUUGCCGUUUUAACAGUCUUUUAGGACAGCCUUAAUACCAUCCGCUACAGAGGCCACACCAUGACACUCUCUCCUUUUAUCCCCAUAGCAGCCAUUGAUGCAGAGGUAUUCUUUGCAACAUGAGAUGGUGCAUUGUCAUGCAUGUAGAUUUUAUUACGGAAAGCAUAGUUCUUCCUUCUGUACCAGGGAAGAAAAUGGUCAGUCAGAAACCCGACAUACUUUGCAGAGGUCAUCUUUACACCUUCGGGACCCUAAAGGGGCCGACCAGCUCUCUUCCCAUGAUUCCGGCCCAAAACAUGACUCCACCACCGCCUUGCUGACGUCGAAGCCUUGUUGGAACAGGGUGGCCGUCCACCAACCAUAUGGACCAUCCAGGGUUGCACAGCGCUCAUCAGUGAAUAGGACGGUUUGAAAAUUAGUCUUCAUGUAUUUUUCUGCCCAAUGCAGCCAUUUCUGCUUGUGAGCAUUGGUUAGUGGUGGCCGAAUGGAAGGUUUAUGCACAGUUGCAAGACUAUGGAGGACUCUACACCUUGAUGUCUGUGGGACUCCAGAGGCACCAGCAGCUUCAAAUAUCUGUUUGCUGCUAUGUAAUGGUAUUUUAGCAGCUGCUCUCUUGAUCAGAUGCAUGGAUCUGGCAGAAAUCUUCCUCAAUGUGCCUUUAUCUGCACAAACCCAUCUGUGCUCUGAAUCAGCCACAGAUCCCUUAAUAGUGCAAGGAUCACGCGUAAGUUUUCGUGAAAUAUCUAAGGUUUUCAUACCUCGUCCAAGGCAUUGAACUAUUUCACUCUUUUCGGCAGCAGAGAGAUGCUUUUUCUUCCCCAUAUUGCAUGAAAAUGGUGCUCUGCUUAAUAAUAUGGAACACCCUCCUUUAGUAGUUUUUCCUUAAAUUGGGCUCACCUGGCAAUCUAAUUAUCACUGAUGUCCGAGAUUGUUUUCAGUGAUCAAAAGAGCCCUGACACACAAUGCCAUCCAUGUUAAACUGAACAACAAAAUAUUUAAUCUUUGUGACACUUAAAUAGAAUUUGCAUAAUUAUUUGGAACAGGGUGUAGUUCGGUUCUGACAUAUAAGUUACCAGUUUGGGUCUAGUAUCUUCUUUACCGUUCUAUAAUUAAAGUAUAUAUAACAAAUAUACAGCUAUCUAGGACUGUAUUAGAGGGAAAAAAAAAAAAUCAAUUGAGGUACAGGGGUUCCGGAAACAAAAUACAAGAGGAUAAGUAGUUUAUAAAUGCCUUUUUUCUACGGCAGCUGUAGUGCCAUAUAUUGUCUAUUUCCCUACCAUUCCUGAGGAUGGCAAUCAUACAAACACUCACACACAGACAAGUACACACAAAAUUGCUAAGGCUCACAUGCCUUCCAUUUUAGUGCAACACUGAGGUAUAUAUGAAAACCACCCUUGCAGCUGCUUACAAUAAUUCUGUCAAUUUCCCACUACUUAUAUGUUAUGCAACAUGCGGAGGAUAGUGAGACAUGCAGUCUCUCUUCACCGCAGCUUGUCAGCAUAGGAAUAAAAGAAGGUGACCAGCCUCCCAGGAGUGUGAUUGUCAUCAAUACUAGGUAACCUGGCCAUGAUCCUGUGCUGCACUAACAUAUGCCUUGAGAAACUGGGUUGCUUACACUAAAACAUGGUUUUAUUGCACAGGGUGACAUCACACCAUAAUGUAUGACAGAUGCACAACUACAUACACUCGUGAUCUGUAAAACACACAACUGCUAAAUGGACGCAAAAGUAAGAGGUUUACCAAUCUGCUCAUAUUUAAAUAAAACGAUAGAGGUGCCAGAAAUGUAUCAGACAGUCUAAAGGUUUUAAAUGUUAACUCUAGUGGAGGGGGACGGACACACACACUUUGUUUAUUUCAAAAUUGGAAUAUACUAUAGCAAAUAUAUAUGGUAUGUUUGGAAGAUCAUUUGAUAAGUUUGCUUCUUGAGAGUCUCAUAAUAUGGCUUCAGGCAUGUCCAACACUGGCUCUUAAACUGAGGGCAACACAUUUUGGGUAAUGAGGUUCAAAACGAAUUUCAGUGGUAACUUAACUUCUAGACAUUAGGACAUAGCAAAUGAUGAUGGAAAUUAGUCACUAGAGGAGGUGCAUAAUAUAUCAAACACAUUUUAAUGUUGUAGAUACUUAGUAGGAUUUUUGUAACUAGAUGCUUUAUUGGUGCUUGCUUUUAGAGCCGUAAAAAACGUAUUUCACCAGCUGAGUAGCAUUAUGUUGAUCUAUGACACUGCCAUUACCAAAUUAACAUCAGUAUUGUUUCCAAUGAGUGCUAAUUCCAGUCUUGUUAAUGCAGGAGUGAUGUGGAUUCUUGAAAUAGGUUUGUAACAUGUCCCAUAAACCCCUUCCAAAAUAGAAUGUUGUAUAGUUACAGUAGAACAUUUAGCAAGUGUUAAGAUUUUGUUUCAUUGGGUAUGGUUUCUUCAAGCUUCUGAGCUGCCAUCUCCUGAACCAGUUCAUCCACAAAUUCUUUAAAAAGAGGUGUGGGGUCCU